AACGUAGGAGACAAACGUUAUCCGGAGUUACUGGGCGUAAAGCGCGUGUAGGCUGCUCAGAAAGUCGGAUGUGAAAGCCCUGGGCUUAACCUAGGAAGUGCAUUCGAAACUUCUGAGCUUGAGUUCUGGAGAGGAAGGCGGAAUUCUCGGUGUAGAGGUGAAAUUCGUAGACAUCGAGAGGAACACCGGUGGCGAAGGCGGCCUUCUGGACAGUGACUGACGCUGAGACGCGAAAGCGUGGGGAGCAAACAGG
rnacentral:rRNA from 1 species